CUAUAGGACUACAACAUCGAUUAUUUCGGUAUCAUCAACCAAUUCAUCUCUAUGGAAAAAUUGUUUUCUUACGGUUAAAUGGUGGGUAAUUUCUUUCUCUUUGUUAAUCUAGUCUUGCCAAAGUUCUUUAAUUUUUUUGGUAAUAUUUUGAAUUAAUUUUUCUGGUGGGAUCAAUCGGGAAGUUGUGUUGAUAACUUAAUUACCCGAUUAGGGGUAAGGUAAAUAGCAAAUUUUAAUGUUCUGGUUGAAAUUUGAUAAGGAAGGACGGCUGAUUGUGAUUCUUGAUUGAUAUUGUAAUUAAAGGAAGGACGGCUGAUUGUGAUUCUUGAUUGAUAGAGGAGGCCGCUCCAUCUUACCAACCGUGAGAUCAGUACUCCUCUCGUUCUCAGAAAUAAUCUCAAUAUGAUAGUUAGUACUCCAGUUAAAGUUGUAAAUUUGAUACCUAUAUACUAAAUCGGUUGACUUAGUUUUGCUUUAUAUCUUCUCAAGAUCGACCUUUUAAUUUUAGAUAUUUUUAUUCUCGCAUUUCUAAAUGAAGGAUGCAGAAGCUAGUUGAAACAAUUUUCAAGUUUUUGGAGAUUUAUCAAAGGCACAAAGAACAAGAAGAUGGCAAACAUAUUUUUUUGUCGUUCUUAUAUUUUUCAUCCCUAGUGCUACUGUAUUUCGUUGUACAUCAGGAUUAACUUGUUCAUUAUAUGUAUCUCAAUUUAUAAAUAAAGUUAUACUUCAUUUUAUUUUGA